rnacentral:rRNA from 1 species
CGGAUUGGAGUCUGCAACUCGACUCCAUGAAGUCGGAAUCGCUAGUAAUCGUGGAUCAGAAUGCCACGGUGAAUACGUUCCCGGGCCUUGUACACACCGCCCGUCACACCAUGGGAGUGGGUUGCAAAAGAAGUAGGUAGCUUAACCUUCGGGAGGGCGCUUACCACUUUGUGAUUCAUGACUGGGGUGAAGUCGUAACAAGGUAACCGUAGGGGAACCUGC